UACGUAGGGACCGAGCGUUGUCCGGAAUCAUUGGGCGUAAAGAGCGUGUAGGCGGCCACUUAAGUCCUGCGUGAAAUCCUGCGGCUCAACCGCAGGCGGUCGUGGGAAACUGGGUGGCUAGAGUGCGGGGAGAAGGAGAGUGGAAUUCCUGGUGUAGCGGUGGAAUGCGCAGAUAUCAGGAAGAACACCCGUGGCGAAGGCGGCUCUCUGGGACGGUACUGACGCUGAGACGCGAAAGCGUGGGGAGCGAACAGG
rnacentral:rRNA from 1 species